rnacentral:rRNA from 1 species
UCAGUCGACUCCUACGGGGGAGCAGCAGUGGGGGGAAUUAUUGCACAAUGGGGCGCAAGCCUGAUGCAGCCAUGCCGCGUGUAUGAAGAAGGCCUUUCGGGUUGUAAAGUACUUUCAGCAGUGAGGAAGGCAGGUACGUUAAUAGCGUGCUUGUUUGACGUUUAGCUGCAGAAGAAGCACCGGCUAACUCCGUGCCAGCAGCCGCGGUAAUACGGAGGGUGCGAGCGUUAAUCGGAAUUACUGGGCGUAAAGCGCAUGCAGGUGGUUUGUUAAGUCAGAUGUGAAAGCCCGGGGCUCAACCUCGGAAUUGCAUUUGAAACUGGCAGACUAGAGUACUGUAGAGGGGGGUAGGAAUUUCAGGUGUAGCGGUGAAAUGCGUAGAGAUCUGAAGGAAUACCGGUGGCGAAGGCGGCCCCCUGGACAGAUACUGACACUCAGAUGCGAAAGCGUGGGGAGCAAACAGGAUUAGAUACCCUGGUAG